GCGCUCGCUGCAGCAGCACAUAGACUAAAAUUGGGACGAUAGAGAUUAGCGUGGCCUCUUCUCACGGAUGACAUUCAAAUUCGUGAAAUGUUCCAUAUUUUU